rnacentral:rRNA from 1 species
AUUGAACGCUGGCGGCAGGCCUAACACAUGCCAGUCGAGCGGAUGCUGGGAGCUUGCUCCUGGAUUCAGCGGCGGCCGGGUGAGUAAUGCCUAGGAAUCUGCCUGGUAGUGGGGGAAAACGUCCGGAAGCGGGCUCUCAUACCGCAUACGUCCUGAGGGCGAAAGUGGGGGAUCUUCGGACCUCACGCUUUCAUAUGAGCCUAGGUCGGAUGCACUAGUUGGUGGGGUAAAGGCAUAGCAAGGCGAAGCUCCGUAACUGGUCUGAGAGGAUGAUCCGUCACACUGGAACUGAGACUCAGCCCAGACUCUGACGGGAGGAAGCAGUGGGGAAUAUUAGACGAGGGGCGAGUGCCUGAUACAGCCAUGCCGCGUGUGUGAAGAAGGACUUCGGAUGGGUGAGCGCUGUAAGUUGUGGGGAAGUACAGUAAGUUUAUACCGGGCUAUAUUGAUAUUACCAACAGAAUAAGCUCCGGCUAACUUCGUG